rnacentral:rRNA from 1 species
AUUGAACGCUGGCGGCAGGCCUAACACAUGCAAGUCGAACGAGCGGCGGACGGGUGAGUAAUGUAUGGGGACCUGCCCGAUAGCGGGGGAUAACUACUGGAAACGGUGGCUAAUACCGCAUACCAUCGGAUGUGCCCAGAGGUGAUUAGCUAGUAGGUGGGGUAACGGCUCACCUAGGCGACGAUCCCUAGCUGGUCUGAGAGGAGGACCAGCCACACUGGGACUGAGACACGGCCCAGACUCCUACGGGAGGCAGCAGUGGGGAAUAUUGCACAAUGGGCGCGAGCCUGAUGCAGCCAUGCCGCGUGUAUGAAGAAGGCCUUCGGGUUGUAAAGUACUUUCAGCGAGGAGGCGUUACCCGCAGAAGAAGCACCGGCUAACUCCGUGCCAGCAGCCGCGGUAAUUC